UACGUGGGGUGCAAGCGUUGUUCGGAAUUACUGGGCGUAAAGCGCGUGUAGGCGGCUUAUUAUGUCAGGUGUGAAAGCCCUCGGCCUAACCGAGGAAGUGCGCCUGAAACUGAUAAGCUUGAGUACGAGAGAGGAGGACGGAAUUCCCAGUGUAGAGGUGAAAUUCGUAGAUAUUGGGAGGAACACCGGUGGCGAAGGCGGCGCUCUGGACCGAGACUGACGCUGAGGCGCGAAGGCGUGGGGAGCAAACAGG
rnacentral:rRNA from 1 species